CCUCUGUCACACCCUCAUGGCCGUGGGAGUGACACAAGAGGCAGCAGCUCGGGGAAGCUGAUGGAAAGGAGCAGCCUCAGGAGUUCAGGCUGGGCCCUCCCGCCUCACCCUCAGGAUCCUUGCCGAAGUCCCAGGGAAUAGCAGACCCCCUCCUACAGCUGGGUCUUGCUCUGUUGUCGAGGCUGGAAUGCAGUGGCGUGAACAUGGCUAACUGCAGUCUUGAUCUCCUGGGCUCAAGUGAUUCUCCUGCCUCAGCCUCCCAAAGUCCUGGGAUUGCAGGCGUGAACCACCGCACCCAGCCAAAUGAGGUCUUUUUGCUUACUCCAAAUACAGGCGAAACCAUCAGCCCA